UGAGCACGGCAUAACACCAGGACAUGGAAGACAUGGAGGCACAAGUUUCCUUCUGCAUGUAUAUUUCCACCUAAUGUGUGUGACACAGUAUGUGUCUAGAUAUCUGCGCGUGUGUGUCCUUAGCCAUUGAAACGACUGUAGAUUGUAGACGAGCAACAGGCUGACAAAGAAAGUAAACAAGGACAGAUUGGACUCUUUACAAGUAUCCUACCUGUGCGUGUCAUUGCCGGAGUAGUUCCAGUCGAUCUCAACGGCGGCGAUGUAAUAGUGUCUCUCCCUGGAUGGGUGCUGGUCCCCUUUGACAUGGAGGACAGUCAGAAGAACCAGGACGGGCAGGAGACCGCCAGCUCCAGCCCAGGCACAGAGCCUCAUUUCUGGGAUCAAUCCGUCAGUUGCAGUUGUCUUACAGUUCUCAUUAUGCAGGAGUCAGUUGUCAGCCUUACCUCACCUGCAGUUCAUCCAGGGUGACAUAUCACCAGACACAUCCUGUCUCCCCUGGACUGGCCUAUACAGCACCACAGGACUACAGUCACACACUACAUAGCCGCUGGGUGAAGUUAGUCUUAACACAAGCGGCUACAGUGGAGCCAGUUUUACAUUCUUUAUAGCAAUAUAUCCCAUUUUAUACCUUGAUCAUAUGUCAUGUGGAUAGUCUGUCUGCAGUGUGACUAUAGCUGUCGAAUGAACGUAGUGGAGUAAAAACUACAACGUUUCUCUCUGAAUUUUAGUGAAGAAAGAUGGAUGCUUAAGUAAAGUACAAGCACCUCAAACCUGUAUAUUACUGAGUAAAUAUAUUUAGUUACUCUCCACCGCUGUGUAUAAAUAAAUGGACUUGACAUGCACCAUUCUGCCUUGGGUUUCAUGUACAUUAAGGGAUGAUUCAAAAAAAAAAAAGAAUAGAUUGGUGAUUGAUUUAUGAAGAAAUUACAGCUGGUCAUUUUUCUGGUUCUACUGUAAAAGCUUCAGGAAAGUGUCCCCACAUGUCAGCGGCCCCGGGGUUUCACCGCACAACAAAUGCUGGACACUCAGAUGAAGCACAAAAACAUGAGAACAAAUCAGAGGACAACAACAACAACAUUAGAGCAACACGGUGAACUUUCAGAAAACCGUAUUAAAAGCUCCCGCAGCAAUGUUUUAGCAAACAUGACCCUACAGGAUACGUGACGCAUGCGACACUGUGACACGCCG